GUCUACAGUCAUGCCACCCUGAGCAAACCCCAUUCCACCUGAUCUCAGAAGCUAAGCAGGGUCGGGCCUUGUUAGUACUUGGAUAGGAGACCACCAAGGAAGACCAGAUGCUGUAGGUG
rnacentral:rRNA from 1 species